AUUGAACGCUGGCGGCAUGCUUUACACAUGCAAGUCGAACGGUAACAGGUUAAGCUGACGAGUGGCGAACGGGUGAGUAAUGCAUCGGAACGUGCCCGGUCGUGGGGGAUAACACUUCGAAAGAAGUGCUAAUACCGCAUACGAUCUGAGGAUGAAAGCGGGGGACCGUAAGGCCUCGCGCGAUCGGAGCGGCCGAUGUCAGAUUAGGUAGUUGGUGGGGUAAAGGCCCACCAAGCCGACGUUCUGUAGCUGGUCUGAGAGGACGACCAGCCACACUGGGACUGAGACACGGCCCAGACUCCUACGGGAGGCAGCAGUGGGGAAUUUUGGACAAUGGGCGAAAGCCUGAUCCAGCAAUGCCGCGUGUGUGAAGAAGGCCUUCGGGUUGUAGAGCACUUUUGUCCGGAAAGAAAUGGCUCUGGUUAAUACCUGGGGUCGAUGACGGUACCGGAGGAAUAAGGACCGGCUAACUACGUGCCAGCAGCCGCCGCGG
rnacentral:rRNA from 1 species